rnacentral:rRNA from 1 species
UACAGAGGGUGCGAGCGUUAAUCGGAAUUACUGGGCGUAAAGCGCACGCAGGUGGCUGAGUCAGUCGAUUGUGAAAGCCCUGGGCUUAACCUGGGAAUUGCAGUCGAUACUACUCAGCUAGAGUAUGGGAGAGGGUAGUGGAAUUCCCGGUGUAGCGGUGAAUGCGUAGAAUAUCGGGAGGAACAUCAGUGGCGAAGGCGGCUACCUGGCCCGAAUACUGACAACUCCAGGUGCGACAGCGUGGGGAGCAAACAGG